GGAUGAACGCUAGCUACAGGCUUAACCCAUGCAAGUCGAGGGGCAGCAUGAUUGAAGCUUGCUUCAAUCGAUGGCGACCGGCGCACGGGUGAGUAACACGUAUCCAACCUGCCGAUAACUCGGGGAUAGCCUUUCGAAAGAAAGAUUAAUACCCGAUAGUAUAGUAUUUCCGCAUGGUUUCACUAUUAAAGAACUUCGGUUAUCGAUGGGGAUGCGUUCCAUUAGAUAGUUGGCGGGGUAACGGCCCACCAAGUCAACGAUGGAUAGGGGUUCUGAGAGGAAGGUCCCCCACAUUGGAACUGAGACACGGUCCAAACUCCUACGGGAGGCAGCAGUGAGGAAUAUUGGUCAAUGGACGAGAGUCUGAACCAGCCAAGUAGCGUGAAGGAGGACUGCCCUAUGGGUUGUAAACUUCUUUUAUACGGGAAUAAAGUGGAGUAUGCAUACUCCUUUGUAUGUACCGUAUGAAUAAGGAUCGGCUAACUCCGUG
rnacentral:rRNA from 1 species